GUUGAUUUGGCUGAAAAUUUAAGCGGUAAACUGUAAAUUUACUUAUGGAUUAGAUAUCCUUUCAAUA
rnacentral:tRNA from 1 species